CCUGCCUCGACGCACGGGCGGUACGAACGCGACGACAGUGGUGGGAAAAUGUCAAAAGGGCUAAUAUGAGUCGAAAUUUCUGGUUGUGCAUUCGACGAGGAAGGAAUGAGCAGAGGACAUUCAGAAAACGUUCCUGACUGAGGAGAGGAUAACCUGGAUUUGUUGAGUGAAGAAUGAUGAAGGAAACAUCUGAACGCCAUGACAGUCUGAGAAUCAAGACGUCAUCCCGCAGUCAUCUCAAAAAUAUGGGCAGAUCAACCAGUAAUGUGGCUGUGUUGUGAUUUCAGACCAACAAAAUGCUGCUUUGCUGACGACUGCAUAACAACUUCUGACUGUAAAAGCUGAGUCGGCCUCACAACCAACCAACCAACUAGCCAGCCCAACAAGUGCCGCCGACCAGCAUACCACCGUUCCGACAAUUUAAAGGCACAGAAGAGGAAUGGAUCGAAUACCUGACUCAUUGUCAAGUUCAUCGUGUUGAAGAUUGACGGCCUCGUGGGACUGCGUGGCCUUCACGGGUGUCCUCUGUUGCCACGAGAGCACCCCAGGAGGAGCAGAUGGACGAUACGCUCUCGUCACCGCCGUCCCCGCUCGCUGGCCCAAUGAACCUGGACGCGCCAUCGCCUUCGUCAUCGCCCUAGGCCACGCCAUCAGGCCUGGACGUGUUCCGUGGCAGCAGUUUUCCGGAGGAUGUUCCUGUUGCCUCAAAAGCCAGAUGGCGGGGUACGCUCGGGAGUACGCCAAUCGGUAGUAGGUGAUGGAUCAAGCACACCCAUCAAGACCGAGGCCAAAGACAGACUCGCAAGUAACACGCCGACAACGCCCUCCCGACUGCCAGUAUUUAGAUCAUUGCCGUUGACCGGAGGUCCCAGUCUCAGCCUCACGCACUAGCGCAGUCCCUCAGUCACUAGUUCAGUCAUUGAUGCACCAACUCAGACUCCAGUUUGGCUCCUGUCGUUCACCACAUAGCGGGACUUGUACUUCACCAGCAGUGAGGCUAACACGGACUAUUAUGGAAGAGCUUGUACCACAGAACAUGAACUCCGUUUAAGAUAAGUAGCUUCCUGUUCUUCUAAAUAAAGACCCUGUUACUACAUGUGUGCAAUUGUGUUGUAGUAAGAGAAUACCGGCCAGUCAACAACAUCCUCUCCCUUGAUUCCUAUGGUAGGAGACUCAACAGUAUAGAUUCAUAAAACAUAAAGCAUUGGGACAUAGAGGAUUGUAUC